rnacentral:rRNA from 1 species
UACGUAGGGUGCAGGCGUUAAUCGGAAUUACUGGGCGUAAAGCGUGCGCAGGCGGUCUUUUUAAGUCAGAUGUGAAAUCCCCGGGCUUAACCUGGGAACUGCGUUUGAAACUGGAAGGCUAGAGUGUGGCAGAGGGGGGUGGAAUUCCACGUGUAGCAGUGAAAUGCGUAGAUAUCGAGAGGAACACCAGUGGCGAAGGCGAGUCCCUGGACAACACCUGACCACUGAGGCACGAAAGCUAGGGGAGCAAACAGGA